rnacentral:tRNA from 2 species
GCGGGUGUGGCGGAAUUGGCAGACGCGUACGGUUCAGGUCCGUAUGAGAGCAAUCUCAUGGGGGUUCAAGUCCCUUCACCCGCACCA